GUAGGUGGCAAGCGUUGUCCGGAAUUAUUGGGCGUAAAGCACGCGCAGGUGGUUCUUUAAGUCUGAUGUGAAAGCCCCCGGGCUCAACCGGGGAGGGUCAUUGGAAACUGGGGAACUUGAGUGCAGGAGAGGAAAGUGGAAUUCCACGUGUAGCGGUGAAAUGCGUAGAUAUGUGGAGGAACACCAGUGGCGAAGGCGACUUUCUGGCCUGUAACUGACACUGAGGCGCGAAAGCGUGGGGAGCAAACAGGAUUAGAUACCCUGGUAGUCCACGCCGUAAACGAUGAGUGCUAAGUGUUGGGGGGUUUCCGCCCCUCAGUGCUGCAGCUAACGCAUUAAGCACUCCGCCUGGGGAGUACGGUCGCAAAGACUG
rnacentral:rRNA from 1 species